UGUUUACAGUCAUGUAUUUGAAUCAAGAGCGUUUAAACAACUGACUGACCUAAAUUGUAGGUAUAAUUCCAAGCAACAUGAGGACUUAACAUUGUAGUGUAGAAAAUACCAUGCAAUUCUGAUAGCAAGGGAGUAUUGUGUGAAAAAACAAUGUGUAAUUAAUACAGUGUGGAAAUGAACAAUAAGUUUGUUUCAAAAGAGGUUCAAAGUGGCUGGUUACUGUGUUUUGGUCUCUGAGGAUUCUUCACUGUGUUUUUGGAAUACUACAGAACAGCAUAAAGAUUAUAUCAUAGGAUGGGGGGAAAAAAGGAGACUGCAACAGCUGAGCAGCACAAAAGCAGACAGUGUACAAACCAACACCAGUACAGCUUACAUACGGUGUAGUGGAAGCCAACAAAAUAAACAUGAAGUCUCCAGCUAAUGGCUUGAGUUGGACCACUGUGAUCAAAGUCUGCAAGGGACUUAUCAUUGGGAGGAAUGUGAAAGGAGAUCUGGUCUUAAAAAGGUUCACCUUCAUCCAGAACACGAAGUGUAUAUUACUCAGGGGCAACUUUCACAAGAACGGCAUGCUGGAGCCAUUAAAAUCCACAAAAGUUAACAAUUGCUCUGCUGGAUGUCCUUUUCAGCAGGGAACAACUUGCGAAGUCCAGCGCCAAUGGGCCUGGCAAGGCCAAUAAUACUUUAAUAUCAACAACAUGUUUGCCUUGUGUUGCCACACAGGCUGUGAAACAUUUUGUGUUAAAUGCAUUUAAAAAAGACAAUGGUACACUGUCCUGUCCGAUUCAGCUUUCAAUGAAAUAAUUAACAGUAAAUUUGCAAAUGCUAGAAGGGCACUAGCUUGUUUAAAUGUUCAAAUGUGUCAAUUAUGU